CCGGCGGGUAGCCGCCUGAAAAGGUGACCGGCCCCCCCUGGGCUGAGACCCCGCCCCAGCUCCUUCGGGAGGCAGCAGUGGGAAUUUUGCACAAUGGGCGCAAGCCUGAUGCAGCGACCCCGCGUGAGGGAUGACGGCCUUCGGGUUGUAACCUCUUUCAGUAGGGAAGAAGCGAAAGUGACGGUACCUGCAGAAGAAGCACCGGCUAACUACGUGCCAGCAGCCGCGGUAAUACGUAGGGUGCGAGCGUUAUCCGGAAUUAUUGGGCGUAAAGAGCUCGUAGGCGGUUUGUCGCGUCUGUCGUGAAAGUCCGGGGCUUAACCCCGGAUCUGCGGUGGGUACGGGCAGACUAGAGUGCAGUAGGGGAGACUGGAAUUCCUGGUGUAGCGGUGGAAUGCGCAGAUAUCAGGAGGAACACCGAUGGCGAAGGCAGGUCUCUGGGCUGUAACUGACGCUGAGGAGCGAAAGCAUGGGGAGCGAACAGGAUUAGAUACCCUGGUAGUCCAUGCCGUAAACGUUGGGCACUAGGUGUGGGGACCAUUCCACGGUUUCCGCGCCGCAGCUAACGCAUUAAGUGCCCCGCCUGGGGAGUACGGCCGCAAGGCUAAAACUCAAAGGAAUUGACGGGGGCCCGCACAAGCGGCGGAGCAUGCGGAUUAAUUCGAUGCAACGCGAAGAACCUUACCAAGGCUUGACAUGUUCUCGAUCGCCGUAGAGAUACGGUUUCCCCUUUGGGGCGGGUUCACAGGUGGUGCAUGGUUGUCGUCAGCUCGUGUCGUGAGAUGUUGGGUUAAGUCCCGCAACGAGCGCAACCCUCGUUCCAUGUUGCCAGCACGUAGUGGUGGGGACUCAUGGGAGACUGCCGGGGUCAACUCGGAGGAAGGUGAGGACGACGUCAAAUCAUCAUGCCCCUUAUGUCUUGGGCUUCACGCAUGCUACAAUGGCCGGUACAAUGGGUUGCGAUACUGUGAGGUGGAGCUAAUCCCAAAAAGCCGGUCUCAGUUCGGAUUGGGGUCUGCAACUCGACCCCAUGAAGUCGGAGUCGCUAGUAAUCGCAGAUCAGCAACGCUGCGGUGAAUACGUUCCCGGGCCUUGUACACACCGCCCGUCAAGUCACGAAAGUCGGUAACACCCGAAGCCGGUGGCCUAACCCUUGUGGGGGGAGCCGUCGAAGUGACCCCGCCCGU
rnacentral:rRNA from 1 species